UUAAAUGCUUAUUCUCUCUUAAACGAUUGAGGAUAGAAGUUUUAGGCCUAAAGGAUUGAGGAGGAAGUUUCGCCAUUCAAGAAGGAUUGAAGAAAGUAAACUAUAUAAAGUUGCGACUGAAUGAGGAAAUUUUGCAAUUGAGGAUGGAAGCUUUGCGAUUGAGAGAGGUAGUGAUUUGGGUUUGGUGGUGCAACUGAUUUGGGCCCACCAGAGUAAGCUAUAGGAUUGGAUUUGGCAAGUUACUGAGAGGAUUACCAAGAUAAAGGAUGCACAUAAAUGCUUAAUUUGAUCUUAGUUUCACCAUCACGUUUGUAGUUUAAAUUGAAUUUAGUGAUGUUCUCAAAUUCUUAAAAAAAAGCCAAGAAAUUUGAGGGUGAGAAAGUUAAGAAAAAGUGGACUCACAUGCUUUAGUUAAGAAUUGUAUUUUGAUGUUUCUGAGAAAAAGACUCCUAUUCACAUGAACAUUGAGAUUUUAUAUUUUACAGGUACACUUUCGAAUCUUUGAAUUGGCCUCUCAUAUUACAAAGAUAUUUCAUUGGAUAUUUUUAUUUGUGCCUAAUAUUUUGGCAUCUUCUAUUUAUGUUCCUCAAGACUAAUCAUUAAUCAAUGCAUCCAAUUCAUUAGCA